GACUCCCUGCCGUGUUCGCCAGUGCCAUAUAUUCCUUGAACCAUUUUUGUGCAUAGGCAGCAGGAUAUUGUUCGAUAGGUGUGAGCGUCGCUUGUCCGAUGAACCCGAAAUUGAACUGACUGCAGCCGAACUGAACCAUCAGGUUCAGGAUGCCGGCAUAGCGACUCUGGCGGGGCCUCA
rnacentral:other from 1 species